rnacentral:tRNA from 1 species
AGAGGUGUAGCUCAGUAGUAGAGCACAUGCUUAGCAUGGAUGGGGUCCUGGGCUCAAUCCCCAGUACCUCCA